AAAGCCCAAUAGAGAGACGCGGAAAGGGGAGCAGCAAGUUAACGAGACUGCGCCCUGCGAGGAGGAGGGGGGGCACGAGAGAGAGAGAGAGAGAGAGAGAGAGAGAGAGAGAGAGAAAAGAGAGAGAGGGAGAGAGAGAGAGAAAAAAAGAGAGAGAGAGAGGAUAUAGAAGAUAACGCCUCAACAAUGGCACCAUCAGGCACCUGGUAGUAGAGGGAGGGGAGCGGGCGGCGAGCUGCGCGCUGCGGGAGCUGGAGGCACAGUCGCGGGCUUGUGAGCCAUUGUGAGCCGCCGAGCCAUGGUGGAGUACAACCGGCGCUGCGCGUUCAGAAGAUGGAGCUCUAGGGGGAAGAGAAGCGGGCUGGCUCCAUCACUGGGAGGCGCGUCCACCUGCUCAUAGAGGAGGCCCAGGCUCGGAGGAGGAGGAGAAGAUCAGGAGAAGAAGCAGCAGAAGAGAAGGAGGAGAGAAGGAGGUGGAGAACAUGGAGAAGUGCCUGCAUUGAAAGGAAAAAAUAUAGAAAAAAUUGAGGAAUUGUCCAAAAAAGGGUCCAAAGCUUAUUUAUUUUCAUGCUGGCAGAGGAGGAGGCGUCGAGAAGAAACAAGCCUCAUAAAACAAGCCCCAAAAAGCUUCCCAAAAUCCUGCCAGUCUGCUGUCAGGGGGCUCUGGAGGUGCUGGAACAGGAGGUACUGAGGCGGCGCAGUGGAGAUGGACUGACACGUCCCAUUGAUGGAUGUCCUUAAAGAGACGAGUCUCAUUGUGCCGACUUUGAAUUCAGUGCAGACUAAUGUCCUGGACCAGACUGGUUUACGUGAGCUGAGGGGUAAUCUGAAGCUGUAUGGUGCUACAGAUGCUGCCUUCCCCCUAUCCUCCUCACCUGAUGCACUAAGUGCCCUACGAGGAGCUUCAGACAACCAUAGAGUGGUGUUGGCAUUACGGGAGUGUCUCCUCCCGAGCCCACCCUCACCGCAGACUCUCACCGAGGCCUCCAAGCAGCCUACUGAUGAGUCCUCCAGCCACGCCAUAUCUCUCCCAUCCAGCGUUACCAAGAGUUUAAGCUCUUGGACCCUGUCAGAAGACAGCAAGAAGCCUCCCUUCACCAUGAUGGAACCAUUGGGCGUCUCUGGGCUGGCCGAGGACUGCCUGAUCCAGCAGAGCCGCACCUUCCUGGGUUGCAUCAUCGAGACCAAGGAUGUCUCGGAUGCUGAACCGAGCAUCAGCCUAAAAAUGGGCGACAUAAACCGGGAGUACGAUGCUUGCUCCAUUUCUGACAUUAACAUGCAGUGCAUGAGCACCAGCGAGACUGGCAGUUAUGGGGAUCAGCUCUUGUCUGACCAGCUUUUGAGCUUUCCCAUACCCAAGCCCCAGCUGGGUGAGAAAAAGGAUGCAGAUAAAGCAGAAAACGACGCAGAUCAGACCACAAAAAACUUGUACGACGGCCUGCUGCUGGACAAGUGCAAUGGAGAGGAGGGCCUGCUCACCAAUUCAAACCAGGACUGGGGAUACUUUGAAUCCUUCAUCAGCGAGAGCAAAAUGGAGCUGCUGGACCUCUGUUCAAAAAACGAGCUCUCGGUCAACCUCUUCUCCGAGGAGGACGUGGACAACUACAUGUUCGACGAUGACGACGAUUCUACACUGAGCAGCGACGUGUGUUCCCUGAAGAUCCGCUACGAGUCCUUCCAAGACAAUAUGAGGGAGAAAACCAACGUCCUUCAGGAGGAAACCCAGUUAAAUUUUUUCCCCAGUGUCCUGGUGAACUGCACGAAAAAAGAAAGCGGCGUGGUUAAGAAAAGUGCGGACGAGCUCGAAACCAAACCCGAAGAACUAGAAGGACUAGAAAACGAAAGUAAAGCAGAUGUCAGUGACAGUUCCAUAGAUAGAACGCUUGAUUACAGUCCAAAAAUGAACUACUUCGUUGAUUACAGCAACUCGGCUGAAGACUCAGGGGAGUACAGUGAUGACAGCUCAAGUAAUGGUUCCUUCAUUGACACCUUCCAUCUGGAUAAACAUAGAAACUCAUUUUCUCGAAAGAAUGUAUGCACCUCCAACCCUCUAAACUACGGAUUACGAGCGAAAAGAAAAGCCAGGUUCAGCGACGACUAUCUUUACGACGUCGACUCCAUAGAAAGUGAAAGAAACAACGAAAAGCGCGAGAAGCCACCUUCCGAUCCGAAGGAGGAAGAGGACGCCGACUGGUGUCCUAAAAAGAGAAGGAAAUCUUCCCGCAAGGAGCCACCCGUGAUAAUCAAAUAUAUCAUUAUAAACAGGUUCAAAGGAGAAAAGCACAUGUGUGUGAAGCUCAGCAAAAUUGAUCCAGCAGUCACGACUGUAAGCUUAAACAAGGACACCAUCGGUGAAUAUGAAAAGCUGGCUCCUCUGAAGGAUUUCUGGCAGGAGAAACAGAGGGAGCAAGAGGAGAAGCUUAGGCUGGCGGCAGGAGAUAAACACAAUUUCCAUCUUAACGGCCGCCAUCGACCCUUUAGUUCCAGUCCUCCCAAAAGGAAAUACAAGCUCGCAAACAGACUUAGGAUUCAGAGGAUUCAAACUGUGGAGCGAGCAGCACCCCACAAGCUGAGCUCCUCUCCCUCUGAUCUUAGGCAGGAGGCUGAUUCGAAAGAAGAGGCUGCCCCCAUGGCAAGGCCAUUAACAAUAGGAGCCCCCAGCUGCGCGAGUGCAUUAGAGCCGAGUGACGCCGCUCACUGUACUACCAAAAAGAGCAGAUCGCAAAUAAGGGAGGAGAGCAGGGUGGGAAAUAAGACAGGCAGGAUACGCAAAUUCAAAAGCGAAGCGAGGCUGAGGAGCAACAGAAUGAAAGAACUUGAGGAAAGAGGCGAAAGCAUGACAAACCUGAGCGAUGCUUGCGCUGUGCUGGAAAAUAAGGAAACAACAGGGGGCGGGAAAGAAACAGAGAUCAACUCCGCCGCUCACAGUCCCCAGUUGAGCGAGAGUCAAACAGCCGAGGCCGCUGAAAAAUUUGCUUUCAUGUCUGCCACCUGCUCCCCUAACAAUGCCACGUCAUCUGAGGACGCGGCCACGAAUGUAGCUGUUAUCCCCGGGGGCUACUUACAGACAUUGUUAGAUGCCUCGGAUUCCUCGGGUGGCUCCGGUGGAUCUUUCUUCCCGCAGCAGACCCCCAGGCAACACUCGCUAGGUCUCUCGCUGGAAGAGCAACAAUUUGCUUCUCUGCAGCUGGCCCAGAGCUGUGUUCUCUCCCCUCCCUCUGAAUCAGAGCUGCAGCAGUCACCCCAGAAUUGUCCCAGCCUCUCCCAGAUGUGGCACUCCCAGCUUGGCCCUGGCCAGCAGUUCGCCUCCGAUAUCCCAGAGACGGCCUUGCCCAGCAUCUUGCCCAACAACUUCACCAGUGCCAUGCCCAUGCCCAUGUCAGAGAGCCUGCCAGUGCCGGGGUACAGCCAGCUGGGGCUGGAAAGCAACAGAAUGCUUUAUGAAAAAAAUUACAUGCCUGAGCAGGCGCUGCCGCCUGACGCAGAAUUUCAAGCAUGUCAGGUUCCCUGCGUGGAGGGCCAGCUACAGUUUCAAAGAAGCACAGUGCACACUGACAACGGCAGGCUCAUCAGUUUCGACUCAGUUGGCUCGCUGUCAGCUACUUCCAGCAAUUACAGCUCUCUGAGUCUCAAGUCCUGUGAGAAGGACGGGGAGGAUGAUGUGAACGAGAACUUUCUGGCCCACUGCAGUCCCAAACUGGUGAUUCAGCAGAGUAUUGAUGCAAUCACCCCCUUAAGGGAAUCCACAGACUUGCUGGAUAUCUCCAACUUCACUCCAGAUAAAUUCAGACACACAUCACUGUCAGAGCUCUCGCCCCCUGAGACGCCCAAUUUAUCCCCCCAGGUCAUAGGCCGAGAUAUGAAGAUAGUGUGGAAAGCCAAGGAUCCCCAGAACGGGUCCGAGAUGACACUGGAGGGCACCCAAGAGAUUAAAUGGAACUGCAACAUGAUGGAACAGCAACAGGACCAUCUGACUGGAUUUGCGGCGACGGAUAGUCGGCAGUAUCAUCAGUUGCAGAGUUUUAACAGCGGCAACUGCUUAGGCUUGGAGAAGAAGUGCAUAAAUCAAACUAACUUUGACGGGCAGGUCGUUGACAUGAAUGGCGUGGCGAAAGGUUCAAAGUCAAAGAAGAAAAGUAGCAACAAGCAAACUGCAGGGCAGGGUCCUAAAAAAGUCAAAGCACCAAAAGCUGCAAAGGGGGACAAACCCAAGACGCCGCGACAGAACUCAAGAGCGUCCAAAAAGCUGAAAGCCUUACUGGAUGAAAAGGGCGGUAAAGGCCAACUCGAUGGCUCCAAGUGUCCAACAAACCUGAUGACGGAUAGCGGCUUUGAGGACUGGCAAGGAAUGGGCUUGUCCGAAGGCAACGGUCAGGCUGAUGACCAGCGAGAGUUCGAAGAGCCAUCGAACAUCCUUUCAAACAUAGUGUCAGGGAUGGCCGAAGUGCAGCGAUUCAUGAUGGCCUCCAUUGAGCCGAUUUGGGGCCCUGCAGCAAACAUCUGCUUACCGUCCGAGGCCAACAGCCUGAAGUUAAAAACUCUAAAAAUCCUGGCAGGGACCUCAUCCGACCCCAAGAAGAAAAGUGCUGCAUCUGCCGGAGGAGCGAAAGGAAAGAAAACGGGAGGGAAAGGUGGCAAAAAUCAGACCAAGUUCAACGCUGCUCAUCCCUUCUUCCCCCAGUUGGCUCUGGGAUGCAACAUGUUCGACAAGCCAAACCUCGGAGUCCACGGCAUAAACGGACCCGCGCACAAAAAGAUGUACCGCCACAAAACCAGUGCGAAAUUCCCCCGCAUCGAAAACCUUAAGGGCAAGCUGGCUGAGCGAGACCCAAAUAAGGACAUAGCACUGAUGACCUCUUUUGAAAAACUGAGGUAAUAUUUUGUAAACUAGCUGCUGAUGCACGUUCCUCACUUUCCCCCCUCCCCCACACACUUCCUGCUCAGCCCUCCGUCCCUGACAUACCUGCACUGACUCGAUGCCAGAGAUGCAUGGAAAUCACACUACCCUUUGACCCACCCUCCUUAUUUUUUCGCCCCCCUGAAGAAGAAGAUAUAGAUAUCUUGCAUGAGAAACUUCUUGUACUUGCAAACUACCUAUUGAGUGAUUGUGUACGGCUUGAUUGAGAUUUAAAAAACUACCAUGGCUGCAUUUUCCUCUUGCUUUUGCUGUUUUUACCUGUUUUUACCUUGUAGUUGUUUUGUUUUUUUGUUUCUUGUUUUUUGGUUCUCGUCUGAAGAGAAGGAAAAAAAAAAGCCUUGAUUUUUCUUUUUUUUUUUGCUUUCUUUUAUUCGGGGGGAGACUUUUUUUUCUAUUUAUGUUUUUUUUAUUUUUUUUACAGUGAAUUAUUUUGCUGCCCUGAACUUAUGUAAUUAUAUUCCUUGUUGGAAACAUGUAGCUGUUUGGAUAAAAAAAGACAAAAUGCUUGUGGCAAGUAAGCUCCCCUAUUAGCUAGUUAUUUUUUCUUUUUUUUAUAAUAUAUAUAUAUAUAUAUAUAUAUAUAUAUAUAUAUAUAUAUUUGCAGAACAGGAUGACCUCUCCUUGCUUUUUCUCCCUUAUAUACAGUAUAUACUGCCUGACUUUUUAAAAAGCGGAAAAUGCCAAGCCUCCUAUUUAGGAUAAUAAACAUCCUUAGCAGGCCCCAAGACAUCAAUAUAUAUAAAGCACAUAACGGGACCGUUUUUUGUAUUGAAGACAUAUCAGAUUAAACGUAUUGUCCUUUUUUUCUUACGUAUGGAAUGUUAUAAAAGUUAUAAUUUUCUUCCUAUGCUUUUACUAUGCUUUUACAGGAGUUUUACUGGAACUUAUCUUAGAGGGACAGUUCUAAGCCAUGGAAAUCCAAAAUGCUUCACUCUUCUUUUCUCUUUUCUUUUCCUUUUUUGGCAGUGUCCCUGUAUAAAAAAAUGCACUAUUUAAUGAAAACAUGAAUUCUGAAAAUCAGUGUGCCAAAUGUAAACUGUGCAAAAUUAUUAUUAAUGAAUACUGAAAACUUGCUGUUUCUUUUUAGCAUCACUAUGAAUCCCUAUUAUGGCAUUAUGGCCGUUUUCUUUUGAGACUCUGCACGAGUUGACGUUCUGGAUCCCCCUCCCGCCACCCCACACUUUUCUUUUGGGACUCUAUACGGUGAAGAGCACCCUGCAGCUGACAGUGGUACAUAACACCACUCAUAUAACCAAAACAACUCUCGCUCUGAACUUUCCUCCUCCUUUUUCCACCUCCUCGCCAAAUUCAGUUUACCUCAGAAUAACUUGGCUUUGAGAUUAAAAAAGACGAACGAAUGGAGACGCGUCUUAAAGAAAAGCACGGGAGAAGAUACGGACAGUGUUCGUUCUGGAUAGAGAACAGCAUCUGGCGUCAGAUGCUCUCCGUGUUAAAGGACCCGGACACGCUGGCGAUGGGGAAACUGCACACGGGCGUCACGCUCACCUGCCUGCCUUCUCGUUUCUGCCUAUUUUCGAUUGAAUGUACUUCUACAAGAUUUGUACAGUGUGCCACUGUUGAGCUGCCUCCUCUUACUGGUGCUAAGAAAGCAAAUUUUUCUUUUUUUUUUGUUUUGUUCUUCUUUCCCAGAUAUGACAAAAAAAUGGAAAGGAAAAAAAGAGAAAAUAUAGAAACACAAAGCCCUAAUCCUCUCUUUAUGAAUGUAUAAUAUAUGGUUAUGUUUGAUGUAUUCACACCAUAAUUCUUUGACAUUAAUUGGGAUUAUUACUUUUUGCUUUUUUUGUUGAAAAGAGUAUUGAGCUUUAUAAAUAUUGUCUAGAGUUGAUACCAGAGGGAUUCUUAAUGAACUCUUGACAAGACAAAAAAUUACUGUAUAUUUUUCUCUGUGCCAAUUUGUAACAUAUUUUGUAAGUGUAUAUUUUUCUUAGAAAGUGCUGUGAAGUAUUAGUGUGUGUGAGUAACCUUUUUUGCGCCUCUGUAGGCAGUGAAAAGGAUGUAUAAUGAAAAAGUUUCUGGUUUUAAAAACCAAACCAUUAAGUAACACAAAAAAAAAAAUCUACAUUUUUGUUGGGAGUUUUGUACGAGAAAAUUGACCUUGUUGUGGGAGUACUGUGUUCAUGUGG